rnacentral:rRNA from 1 species
AGUGAACGCUGGCGGUAGGCCUAACACAUGCAAGUCGAACGGCAGCACAGUAAGAGCUUGCUCUUACGGGUGGCGAGUGGCGGACGGGUGAGGAAUACAUCGGACUCUACUUUUUCGUGGGGGAUAACGUAGGGAAACUUACGCUAAUACCGCAUACGACCUACGGGUGAAAGCAGUGGAUCUUCGGACCUUGCGCGAUUGAAUGCGCCGAUGUCGGAUUAGCUAGUUGGCGGGGUAAAGGCCCACCAAGGGGACGAUCCGUAGCUGGUCUGAGAGGAUGAUCAGCCACACUGGAACUGAGACACGGUCCAGACUCCUACGGGAGGCAGCAGUGGGGAAUAUUGGACAAUGGGCGCAAGCCUGAUCCAGCCAUACCGCGUGGGUGAAGAAGGCCUUCGGGUUGUAAAGCCCUUUUGUUGGGAAAGAAAAGCAGCAGGUUAAUACCCCGCUGUUCUGACGGUACCCAAAGAAUAAGCACCGGCUAACUUCGUG